rnacentral:rRNA from 1 species
UGGGGAAUAUUGGACAAUGGGCGAAAGCCUGAUCCAGCCAUGCCGCGUGUGUGAAGAAGGUCUUCGGAUUGUAAAGCACUUUAAGUUGGGAGGAAGGGCAGUAAGCGAAUACCUUGCUGUUUUGACGUUACCGACAGAAUAAGCACCGGCUAACUCUGUGCCAGCAGCCACGGUAAUACAGAGGGUGCAAGCGUUAAUCGGAAUUACUGGGCGUAAAGCGCGCGUAGGUGGUUCGUUAAGUUGAAUGUGAAAGCCCCGGGCUCAACCUGGGAACUGCAUCCAAAACUGGCGAGCUAGAGUAGGGCAGAGGGUGGUGGAAUUUCCUGUGUAGCGGUGAUAUGCGUAGAUAUAGGAAGGAACACCAGUGGCGAAGGCGACCACCUGGGCUCAUACUGACACUGAGGUGCGAAAGCGUGGGGAGCAAACAGG